rnacentral:tRNA from 1 species
GCGAAAGUGGCGGAAUUGGCAGACGCGCUGGACUUAGGAUCCAGUGGGGUGAUCCCGUAGGGGUUCGAGUCCCCUCUUUCGCACCA